rnacentral:rRNA from 1 species
GUGGGGAAUCUUAGACAAUGGGCGCAAGCCUGAUCUAGCCAUGCCGCGUGAGCGAUGAAGGCCUUAGGGUUGUAAAGCUCUUUCGUGGGGGAAGAUAAUGACUGUACCCCAAGAAGAAGCCCCGGCUAACUCCGUGCCAGCAGCCGCGGUAAUACGGAGGGGGCUAGCGUUGUUCGGAAUUACUGGGCGUAAAGCGCACGUAGGCGGACUGGAAAGUCAGGGGUGAAAUCCCGGGGCUCAACCCCGGAACUGCCUUUGAAACUCCCAGUCUUGAGUUCGAGAGAGGUGAGUGGAAUUCCGAGUGUAGAGGUGAAAUUCGUAGAUAUUCGGAGGAACACCAGUGACGAAGGCGGCUCACUGGCUCGAUACUGACGCUGAGGUGCGAAAGCGUGGGGAGCAAACAGGAUUAGAAACCCCAGUAGUCC